ACAUUUUUAGUAUAAAUAAAUAUAUUUAAUUUCCAAUUAAAAAUUUCUGCUAAAAUAGAAAAAUGUA
rnacentral:tRNA from 2 species